rnacentral:rRNA from 1 species
UACGGGGGGGGCAAGCGUUGUUCGGAAUUACUGGGCGUAAAGGGUUCGUAGGUGGCCGACUAAGUCAAACGUGAAAUCCCUCAGCUUAACUGGGGAACUGCGUCUGAUACUGGUCGGCUCGAGUGCAGGAGAGGAACGCGGAAUUCCAGGUGUAGCGGUGAAAUGCGUAGAUAUUGGGAGGAACACCAGUGGCGAAGGCGGCUCACUGGACCGGUACUGACGCUGAUGCGCGAAAGCGUGGGGAGCAAACGGG